rnacentral:rRNA from 1 species
UACGGGGGGGGGCAAGCGGUUGUUCGGAAUUACUGGGACGUAAAGGGCUCGUAGGCGGCCAACUAAGUCAGACGUGAAAUCCCUCAGCUUAACUUGGGAACUGCAUCCGAUACUGGAUGGCUUGAAUCCGGGAGAGGGAUGCAGAAUUCCAGGUGUAGCGGUGAAAUGCGUAGAUAUCUGGAGGAAUACCGGUGGCGAAGGCGGCAUCCUGGACCGGCAUUGACGCUGAGGAGCGAAAGCUAGGGGAGCAAACAGG